ensembl:snRNA Gm22127 predicted gene, 22127
GUGCUCCCUUCGGCAGCACAUAUACUAAAUUGGAACAAUACAGAGAAGAUUAGCAUGGCUCCCGCGCACGGAUGAUACACAAAUUCCUGAAGCAUUCCAAUUUUUUU